rnacentral:tRNA from 1 species
GUCGAAGUGGCGGAAUUGGUAGACGCGUUAGAUUCAGGUUCUAAUGGGCGCAAGCUCAUAGGGGUUCAACUCCCCUCUUCGACACCA